CCUACGGGAUGCAGCAGUGAGGAAUAUUGGUCAAUGGACGAGAGUCUGAACCAGCCAAGUAGCGUGAAGGAUGACUGCCCUAUGGGUUGUAAACUUCUUUUAUAUGGGAAUAAAAUGUUCCACGUGUGGGCUUUUGUAUGUACCAUAUGAAUAAGGAUCGGCUAACUCCGUGCCAGCAGCCGCGGUAAUACGGAGGAUCCGAGCGUUAUCCGGAUUUAUUGGGUUUAAAGGGAGCGUAGGUGGAUUGUUAAGUCAGUUGUGAAAGUUUGCGGCUCAACCGUAAAAUUGCAGUUGAAACUGGCAGUCUUGAGUACAGUAGAGGUGGGCGGAAUUCGUGGUGUAGCGGUGAAAUGCUUAGAUAUCACGAAGAACUCCGAUUGCGAAGGCAGCUCACUGGACUGCAACUGACACUGAGGCUCGAAAGUGUGGGUAUCAAACAGGAUUAGAUACCCGAGUAGUC
rnacentral:rRNA from 1 species